rnacentral:rRNA from 1 species
GACGAACGCUGGCGGCGUGCUUAACACAUGCAAGUCGAACGAAGAGCGAUGGAAGCUUGCUUCUAUCAAUCUUAGUGGCGAACGGGUGAGUAACGCGUAAUCAACCUGCCCUUCAGAGGGGGACAACAGUUGGAAACGACUGCUAAUACCGCAUACGAUCUAAUCUCGGCAUCGGGGAUAGAUGAAAGGUGGCCUCUACAUGUAAGCUAUCACUGAAGGAGGGGAUUGCGUCUGAUUAGCUAGUUGGAGGGGUAACGGCCCACCAAGGCGAUGAUCAGUAGCCGGUCUGAGAGGAUGAACGGCCACAUUGGGACUGAGACACGGCCCAGACUCCUACGGGAGGCAGCAGUGGGGAAUCUUCCGCAAUGGACGAAAGUCUGACGGAGCAACGCCGCGUGAGUGAUGACGGCCUUCGGGUUGUAAAGCUCGGUUAAUCGGGACGAAAGGCCUUCUUGCGAAUAGUGAGAAGGAUUGACGGUACCGGAAUAGAAAGCCACGGCUAACUACGUG